UAUUUUGCAACAAUAAGCUGGAAGGUCCCCUGCCAAAUAUUACUGGAACGAGCUCCCUGAAAUACUUGGAUUUGAGCAGCGAUGCCUUUGAUAGCACAGAUUUUUCACAAUGGCUUUUGACUAUGAAGAAUUUAACAACAUUGAGGCGAACCUGUCUG